AUUUUUCAAUUUUCACCCUAGAUGUCAGCAGCCUCACCUUCUUCCCCUGCCUCCAACUGCUGCUUCUCCUCUCCAACAACAGUGGCGCCGCAUCCAACUACUCCAAGGUUCCCUGCGUUUUCGCCGGCGCCAGCCGCUAGUUCGCCGCCGUUCGUCCAGCGCUCUGACCCUCACAACCCGCCGUUCUUUGACGGUGCGUUCGACUUCGCAUUCUCUGCAAGGCUCGACGAGGCGCUAUUCCCGGCGAUAUUCGCUACAGAGAUGGAUCGCCGUGCCAGAUCUGGUGGCUUGUGUAUUGUCGCCGUCGCGAGUGCGGGGAUGAUGAGGUGAGGGAGGUCGUUUAUCUGUUCAGUAAUGUUACCUUGGCUGGAAUGAGAAUGACAAAUGAUAUAUACAUAGAAGUUGUAGAUUGAUAAUGUCAUGGGUAAUUCAGUUUGCUGCAUUGCAUUACUAAGUAUCUAUUGUUCUAAUGAAUAAAAAAAUAUAAAUUGAUAUGAAUCGAACAGGUUCUGCUUUGUGAACAGGUUUUGCACUUGACUAUGGAAUAGGUAAGUGUUGUUGUUGAAAUUAUUGCUAAAAAUGGAUUUGUUAUGCUGCUACUGCUAUAAAUUAAUUUCUUUCUAGCUCUUAACCUCUUGUUAGGAAGUUUCACAUGCCACAUACUUAAUUCUGUGUUGUAUGUAUUGCAAAGGGUACAAUAAAACUAGGCCGGUUAGCAAAGGAAUUAGCAGCCGAUGUAAAUAUUAAACACAAAGCCAAAGGACUGCUUCCUCGUCCAAUGGGUUAUGUAACAAUUAAGUGUCAAUUUUAGUUGUGUCAUUCCUUUAGUAAUUAUUUGGCAAAAGAAUUUCUCUUAUUGCUCAAAAGAAUUCCUUACCUUAUCUAAUAUCCAUACAAAGAAAACAUAAUUUAAACC